CCUACGGGAGGCAGCAGUGGGGGAUAUUGCACAAUGGGGGAAACCCUGAUGCAGCGACGCCGCGUGUAGGAAGACGGUCCUCUGGAUUGUAAACUACUGUCCCCAGGGACGAAGAUGACGGUACCUGGGGAGAAAGCUCCGGCUAACUACGUCCCAGAAGCCGCGGUAAUACGUAGGGAGCGAGCGUUGUCCAGAAUUACUGGGUGUAAAGGGGGCGUAGGCGGGGAUGCAAGUUGGGUGUUAAAUCUACCGGCUCAACUGGUAGUCGCACUCAAAACUGCAGCUCUUGAGUGAAGUAGAGGCAGGCGGAAUUCCUAGUGUAGCGGUGAAAUGCGUAGAUAUUAGGAGGAACACCAGUGGCGAAGGCGGCCUGCUGGGCUUUUACUGACGCUGAGGCUCGAAAGUGUGGGGAGCAAACAGGAUUAGAUACCCUGGUAGUC
rnacentral:rRNA from 1 species